GUUUCAGCAUUUAGAUUAAAGGAGGAGAAUAAGGCAAGCAGUUGCUUGACCAAGACAAGGUGGAUGCCAUCAUUGAAUAUGCUAUGGGAAGAUUGCUAGGAGUGACCUCCGCAGAAAUAAGAGGAAGAUGGGCCAAAAACUGAAGGACACCAGGGUAGCACGCAGGAGAAAGCCUGUCAAAUGGUCAUACAGCAUCCAAGGGCAACUUCUUGAGACUGGAAACUGCUAAAUAUCUUGAUGUUCACCUCAAGAGCAACCUGAAUUGGACAGAUCACAUAAAGACAACAACAAAUAAAGCCAGCUCUGUCGGUGCAUUUUUGCAGUGGAACAUUAGGCCUUGCCUAAGAAAAACAAAAACGUUGUGCUUCUUUGCUCUUGUUCGCCUAAUCCUGGAGUAUGCGUGCACAGUGUGGGAUCCUCAGCAGCAUCGCACCAAUGCUGCAACAUCUCAAAUGGCCAUCUCUCCGAGAACGCAGGGCAUGGUUUAAGAUGGUGAUGGUGUACGGGACUGUCAACCUGCACUCAGAGUUUCUCAAAAUCUACCUUCUAUCGGUGUUAACAUCCAACCAUGGUCAUACGCAGCAAUUCCAAAUACAAUUUACAAGGACUUCCUGAUUUCAUCAUGCUUUGGAACUUGCUACCUGCUGGAUUUGUCAACUGUACCUCCGCUAAAGCUUUUAAGCAAGAUGUACAAAAUGUCCAUCUCCAUUAGAAGGGGAAGAAGAAUUUUUAACUGCACAUAGAAUAUUAUAGAAAGUUUUAAAUUUGCACUGUAUAUUCGCGACACAAGACCUGACGUACGUGAUACACCAUACGGUGGACUGAAGUGAUAUCUCAAGAUCUGGGGGAUGACAAUUCGGGCUUUAACAAAUUGCAUGAUAGUGGAGGUACUAUUUUUGACUACACAGUCGGAAGUUCCAUCUAGUUAUAAUAUCCUAACAUCAGUAUAGUAUCGCUAGAACAAAA